CACCGUUGCAGGGGCUUCCUGGGCACUCCCCUGCCUAGGCGCCCGCCCUCCGGGACCCUCACGGUAGAGAGGGCGGAAAGGCACUUAAGAAGCAGAAAUGCAACGUGAAAGAGGUGAUUGGAAAGCACGAAUCUGACCGCAGGCCUGGUCCGCGUCCACAGUGGCUGAGAUGUGGGCAUCGGGAGGCCGCCGGUGGGUCCUGCGCUCCCUCAGCGGGCCCUGGCUAUGUGCGGACGACUGGAGCAGCCGCUGCGCCCCAGGGCUCCAGGGGUGUAUACAGGUCCUCCUUCCUGAGCUGACCAUCUGAGAGUCUAGAACCUCCGUGGGAAUGAACGCUGACGAGCAGGACCUGGCUGUAGAAAGGCCAGCCAGAAACUCAAGUUCUCGCCUGUUUCAACCUGAAUUUAAUAAAAUGUGCACUGGUGUAUUAUUCAGCCAUAAAACAAGAGAUAGGUACUGAUGUAUCUACAACAUAGAUGGACCCUGAAAUGUGUGCAGUGAGAGAAUUCAGACACAUAAAGCCACAUAUUAUACGAGUCCAUUUACAUGAAAUGUCCAGAGUUAAGUCCAUCCACAGAGACAGAAAGUGGACCAGUGGCUCCAGGGAGUGGGGUGGGGGGUGAGAUUGCUCACAGGGGCAGGGUUUCCUUGUGGGAUGAGGGAAACAUUCUAUAGAGAGGUGGUGCAGAAUAUGGCGAGUGUAUGAAAUGCUACUGAAUUGUACGCCUAAACAUACUUACUUCUACGCUAUGUGGGUUUCACCAAAAUAAAAAAAAAAAUAUCUGC